rnacentral:rRNA from 1 species
GUAGUCAUAUGCUUGUCUCAAAGAUUAAGCCAUGCAAGUCUAAGUUUAAGCACAUAAACGGCGAAACUGCGAAUGGCUCAUUAAAUCAGUUAUCGUAUAUUUGAUAGUACCUACUACAUGGAUAACCGUGGUAAUUCUAGAGCUAAUACAUGCCUAAAAACCCGACUUCGGAAGGGUUGUAUUUAUUAGAUUAAAAGCCAAUGCCCUUCGGGGCUCACUGGUGAUUCAUAAUAACUUCUCGAAUCGCAUGGCCUUGUGCCGGCGAUGGUUCAUUCAAAUUUCUGCCCUAUCAACUUUCGACGGCUCGGUAUUGGCUAGCCGUGGUUACAACGGGUAACGGAGGGUUAGGGCUUGACCCCGGAGAAGGAGCCUGAGAAACGGCUACUACAUCCAAGGAAGGCAGCAGGCGCGCAAAUUACCCAAUCCCGAUACGGGGAGGUAGUGACAAUAAAUACUGAUACAGGGCUCUUUUGGGUCUUGUAAUUGGAAUGAGUACAAUUUAAAUCCCUUAACGAGGAACAAUUGGAGGGCAAGUCUGGUGCCAGCAGCCGCGGUAAUUCCAGCUCCAAUAGCGUAUAUUAAAGUUGUUGCAGUUAAAAAGCUCGUAGUUGAACCUUGGGCCUGGCUGGCCGGUCUGCCUCACCGCAUGCACUGGUCCGGCCGGGUCUUUCCCUCUGGGGAGCCGCAUGCCCUUCAUUGGGUGUGUCGGGGAACCAGGACUUUUACUGUGAAAAAAUUAGAGUGUUCAAAGCAGGCCUAUGCUCGAAUACAUUAGCAUGGAAUAAUAGAAUAGGACGUUUGGUUCUAUUUUGUUGGUUU